CCUUUUCUCUGUCCGGUAGGUAGUGAGAGCUGAGUGCGAGCCUGGUGCCGCCGCUGGAGGUUCAGGCCCCAUCUCCUCUCCAAUCUAGUGUCAUCCCCAUGGCGGCAGGACAAAGACCACAAGGUUCCCAAGUGCAAAUAAAAAAGGCACCACAAGGAGGCUAGGACAGAGGUCUGCGUACCUACCACCAAGCCCCAUCAGUGCUUCCGACCUUGAACUAAAGCACCCUUCUGCACCUUCCCACAGAGGUCAACAAGCCCUCCCCAGCAGGCUCAGGGUGGGCAGGGCUCCAGGAGUGAGGGGACUCACUACCCACCUUGAGUGGCCAGCUUGAAUUCACUAUCGAAACUCCGGGUUGUGAACAGCCGCUCCAGGAAGGUAUUGAGCAGACGCUGGUCAAACUCAUUGUCCACGCGGCCACCAUAGAUGGACUGGGCCAUCAAGGUCUUGAGGGCAGACCAUGGGAUCUUAUCCGAGGUGCUACACUGUCCAGCUCUGGUGUAGCCUACUUGCCUUGGCUGUGUCAUCCAGCCACGUGUCCACUGUGUCACAGGCUGACCGAAGGUCAGACUCUCCGAAUUCGUACUUCUUUGACCACCCCAGCGGAGCAUAGCGCAGGCGCUCUUGGAUGAUGGCAUGGAACCAAGCCAGCAGGAAAUACAAGCGGGCACGCUCAUUCGGAGACUAGAGGAGGAAAAUGACCAAGGACAGAAUCGUCACAGAGCAUCAUGUGUUUGUCUAAGGAAACUAGACACCCUCACACUUCGGUCACCUGGACUGCAGCACCACAGUCACACGGCACAGAUGACGGCAGAAAGUACCCAGUUUGUAAAGACCAGGACAGACACACGGCACCUGAACUCAGACAGGUGUCUAGAAACAGGCUUUCUACAAGUGGACUCCAACAGUGGAUUCUGGCACCAAGCAGAACAGAACUGACAGGGGUCCUUGCUGAAGUAGCUGUCCUCAUGUGGAACAGGGGCAGUGAGUGGCUUCAGGGGCUGUGCCUACUCUGCCCUCUGGAGUGGACUCUGGGUCACAGCACUGGGGGUGCAGCUGCUCCCCCGAGACCUACUCCUCCCUUGCCUGCCCCUGUGCACGGAACGCAGCUGGUCUUGGGUUUAUGUACAGGGGUAUCCGGGGGGUGCGCUCUUUACCUUGCAUAUCCGAGAGACGGGGAUGCUACUGAAUGUCCUCAGCAUGUUGGCCUUCACCCCAGGUGGUGGCUCAAACACAAAGAUUCGGCCUGCCCGGAGCAGGUUUACUGGCACCUAAGGGGAAGGUAGCCUCUGUGAUGUCUGCUUUUAUUUUGGCGCGACAAGGUGUGGCUAACCUCAAGUUCUCGGCAAUCCUCCUGCCCAGCAUCCCAAGUUCUGGGUUGCAGACAUGUGCCACCACACCCAGUUGACCCUCUGGUUUCGAUGCAGCCAGUUCCUUGACUGUGCACACCAUUUCCACAGGAGGCACCAGCACCCAGAGCUCCCACACCUUUUGCUCACCUUGGGGUUGAUCUCCAUGGUGAGGAAAAGUCGGAAGCAGGCAUGGGGCUGCAGGGAGUGCAGCUUCUUCUCCAGCUGCAUUAGCCACCCUGGGGCCAGAUGCACGUUCUUCAGCAUCACCCACCUGCACACACAUACACACAGUCACAGUGACUUGAUGGCUUUCCCAGGGAUCCUGGGGACACACGGGAUUUUAAGACCAAACCAACUGCACCCACCUGCCUGACUUCACAGCAGUGUUGAUUGCCUUAUCUGCUUGGUUAAAGCCUUCGGCUGAGCCUGAGACAUGGAAACUUAGUGUGAACGGCAGCCUUAUGCUUCAAGGCUGCACAUGUCCACGAACCAGCAAGUGUCCUUACCAAUGGCAAUAGAAGUGAUCUGUGUGUUCUGCUCAGCUGCCAGGUCCUCAACAUGCCCACUGGCAUCAUACCCAGGCACAGAGCACAUCAGGACAGGUGUGUUUGGCUUCACCUGUAAAUGAAAAGACGAUCAGCUGCAAGACAGGACCUGUCAAGAGAAGGCCUGAGGGCGGCGCUGCCUUUGGAAGACUGCAGCCAACAAGCUGCUGGUGCGAGGGCAAAUCGGGGCUGGGGAGCCGGGAUGGGGCACCGGGACAUUACCUCUGUGCCCACAAUGUGGGUGAGGUCCAGUGGCUGCUCCAUGAUGGACAUGAAGGACUCCCCAAGGUUUGUGGAAACAAACAUGUGGGCCAUGGCCAGCAGGCGGUCGGGUCGGAAAGCCUGAAUCAGCAGGAGGCGGUGGAUGGCCUGCCCGAUGGGAGCUGCAGGGAGGCGUGACAAGGUGGGUGAAGGCACAGGCCUGGAGUCUCACUCCUGACUUCCCCAUCCAGGGAACCGGCUUGGCCAAACCUUCAGCCCCUGAGACUCCGCUCCAACUCGUCCACAAAGCACACACCCUACUGGCUCUCUUGGGCCCAAGGGGCAUCUGCCCUCUCGUCUACGACCACUUCAGCUGCCCAGCGAGGAGACUGUAACACCAGGCGUGGGGUACUGAUCAGGAGCCAUGGGUUGAUAUUACUGCCUUCAGAGACUAUUCCCAGCUAACCUUGAACUCACGAUCCUCCUGCCUUUUCCUCCAUGGUGCUGGGAUUACAGGUGUGUGGCUGCCACACCUGGCUCUUUGUUGACUAUGUGUGGUGGCCUGUAUGUGGGAGCGUGUGCACUCACAUGGCAUGGCAUGUGUGUGGAGGGCAGAGGUCAGCUUCACGUUUUAGUCCUCUUCACCCUGAGACAGGAUAUCUGUCUCUUUACCGGCAUGGGACCAAGGCUAGCAGGCCUGUGAACCUCUGUUGAUCUCUCUCUGCCUCCCAUCUCCUCACAGGGCUGUGCUGGGGUCACAGAUGCUUGCACUACUGUCUGUAGGUUUUGGGGAUUGAAAUUCAGGUUGCCUGUCUUGUAUGGCAAACACUUUUACCCACUAAACCAUCCAUCUCCAUAGCCCCUCAUCUGUUGCAUUAAUUUUUUUUUUUUUUUGAGACAGGAUCUCACUAUAUGGUCCUGCGUAGCCUUGAACUCAUAGUAGAUUAGGCUAGCCUUGAACUCUGAGAUCUACAUGCCUCUGCCUCCUCAGUGCUGGUAUUAAAGGCAUGUAGUAUAAUG